AGAACGAACGCUGGCGGCAGGCUUAACACAUGCAAGUCGAACGAACGUAGCAAUACGUUAGUGGCGCACGGGUGAGUAACGCGUGGAUAUCUGCCUUUUGGUUCGGGAUAACCUUGGGAAACUAGGGCUAAUACCGAAUGGUUCCUACGGGAUAAAGAUUUAUCGCCAAAAGAUGAGUCCGCGUCCGAUUAGCUAGUUGGUGGGGUAAUGGCCCACCAAGGCGACGAUCGGUAGCUGGUCUGAGAGGACGAUCAGCCACACUGGGACUGAGACACGGCCCAGACUCCUACGGGAGGCAGCAGUGGGGAAUAUUGGACAAUGGGGGCAACCCUGAUCCAGCCAUGCCGCGUGAGUGAUGAAGGCCUUCGGGUUGUAAAGCUCUUUUGGCGGGACGAUGAUGACGGUACCCGCAGAAUAAGCCCCGGCUAACUUCGUGCCAGCAGCCGC
rnacentral:rRNA from 1 species